AGAGCGAACGCUGGCGGCAGGCCUAACACAUGCAAGUCGAGCGCCCCGCAAGGGGAGCGGCAGACGGGAGAGUAACACGUGGGAACGUGCCCUUUGGUUCGGAACAACACAGGGAAACUUGUGCUAAUACCGGAUAAGUCCGUAAGGAGAAAGAUUUAUCGCCAAAGGAUCGGCCCGCGUCUGAUUAGCUAGUUGGUGAGGUAACGGCUCACCAAGGCGACGAUCAGUAGCUGGUCUGAGAGGAUGAUCAGCCUCACUGGGACUGAGACACGGCCCAGACUCCUACGGGAGGCAGCAGUGGGGAAUAUUGGACAAUGGGCGCAAGCCUGAUCCAGCCAUGCCGCGUGGAUGAUGAAGGCCCUAGGGUUGUAAAGUCCUUUCGACGGGGAAGAUAAUGACGGUACCCGUAGAAGAAGCCCCGGCUAACUUCGUGCCAGCAGCCGC
rnacentral:rRNA from 1 species